rnacentral:rRNA from 1 species
AAUGAACGCUGGCGGCAGGCCUAAAACAUGCAAGUCGAACGCCCUAGCAAUAGGGAGUGGCGCACGGGUGAGUAACAUGUGGGAAUAUGCCUUUUGGUACGGAACAACGUUUGGAAACGAACGCUAAUACCGUAUGGCCCCUCCGGGGUAAAGAUUUAUCGCCAAAAGAUUAGCCCGCACUAGAUUAGCUAGUUGGUAAGGUAAUGGCUUACCAAGGCGACGAUCUAUAGCUGUUCUGCGAGGAAGAUCAGCCACACUGGGACUGAGACACGGCCCAGACUGCUACGGGAGGCAGCAGUUAGGAAUAUUGGACAAUGGGCGCAAGCCUGAUCCAGCCAUGCCGCGUGAGUGAUGAAGGCCUUCGGGUUGUAAAGCUCUUUAGCCGACGAAUAUAAUGACUGUAGUCGGAGAAUAAGCCCCGGCUAACUUCGUGCCAGCCGCCGCAGUAAAAC